rnacentral:tRNA from 1 species
GGCCCCAUCGUCUAGAGGUUAGGACACGACCCUUUCAAGGUCAAAACCAGGGUUCGAUUCCCUGUGGGGUCA